rnacentral:rRNA from 1 species
CGAACGCUGGCGGCGUGCUUCACACAUGCAAGUCGAACGGUGAAGCAGAGCUUGCUCUGUGGAUCAGUGGCGAACGGGUGAGUAACACGUGAGUAACCUGCCCUUGACUCUGGGAUAAGCGUUGGAAACGACGUCUAAUACCGGAUACGAGCUGAGACCGCAUGGUCAUCAGUUGGAAAGAUUUUUUGGUCAAGGAUGGACUCGCGGCCUAUCAGCUUGUUGGUGAGGUAAUGGCUCACCAAGGCGACGACGGGUAGCCGGCCUGAGAGGGUGACCGGCCACACUGGGACUGAGACACGGCCCAGACUCCUACGGGAGGCAGCAGUGGGGAAUAUUGCACAAUGGGCGCAAGCCUGAUGCAGCAACGCCGCGUGAGGGAUGACGGCCUUCGGGUUGUAAACCUCUUUUAGUAGGGAAGAAGCGAAAGUGACGGUACCUGCAGAAAAAGCACCGGCUAACUACGUG